UACAGAGGAUGCAAGCGUUAUCCGGAAUGAUUGGGCGUAAAGCGUCUGUAGGUGGCUUUUUAAGUCCGCCGUCAAAUCCCAGGGCUCAACUCUGGACAGGCGGUGGAAACUACCAAGCUGGAGUACGGUAGGGGCGAAGGGAAUUUCCGGUGGAGCGGUGAAAUGCGUAGAGAUCGGAAAGAACCCCGGCGGCAAAGCACUCUGCUGGGCCGACACUGACACUGAGAGACGAAAGCUAGGGGAGCGAAUGGG
rnacentral:rRNA from 1 species